CCCUUAGAUGUUCUGGGCCGCACGCGCGCUACAAUGAUGAAUUCAACGAGUUUAUAACCUUGGUUGAAAAGCCUGGGUAAUCUUUUGAACUUUCGUCGUGAUGGGGCUAGACCCUUGCAAUUAUUGGUCUCCAACGAGGAAUUCCUAGUAAACGAAAGUCAUCAGCUUGCAUUGAUUACGUCCCUGCCCUUUGUACACACCGCCCGUCGCACCUACCGAUUGAAUGGUCCGGUGAAAUCUUCGGAUUGAGACUUUGAUUUCUUCACGGAAAACGCUGUUUUAAAAAGUUGAUUAAACCUUACCAUUUAGAGGAAGGUGAAGUCGUAACA
rnacentral:rRNA from 1 species